UACGUAGGGGGCUAGCGUUGUCCGGAAUCAUUGGGCGUAAAGAGCGUGUAGGCGGCCCGGUAAGUCCGCUGUGAAAGUCGGGGGCUCAACCCUCGAAUGCCGGUGGAUACUGUCGGGCUAGAGUGCGGAAGAGGCGAGUGGAAUUCCUGGUGUAGCGGUGAAAUGCGCAGAUAUCAGGAAGAACACCGACGGCGAAGGCAGCUCGCUGGGACGGUACUGACGCUGAGGCGCGAAAGCGUGGGGAGCGAACAGG
rnacentral:rRNA from 1 species